rnacentral:lncRNA from 1 species
UUUUUGGGCAGAAGCUUUUCUCCUGCUCUUGUCUUGCACAGCUCGGGAAAGAGGAAAGGUUCCCAUUGCUAAGCCAGGUCCAGGCCAGUUUUGACUCUUUAGGAGGCUGAUGGGACCAGGACGCCUGCUUCAGUUUGUCGCUAAUGUGAAUCUCUGGGCAGGAUGAGGCUGUUGGAGGCUCCUGGAUGGACCAAUGGAUCACAGCUGUCCCAGACCAUCAUGGCACAAAUCCUCCCCGGCGCAGCCAGCUUGGCUGCAUGGGGAUCUGCUGCAGCAGGAAUGGUGUUGGCUCUUCCUUUCCCGGCCCUACAACCUCGCAAGCACUGAGAGCUGGGGGCUGGAGCUGGAACUGCAGAUAGCAGAAGAGGUCACUCCAGCAAUUCAAUGCUUUUUGCACUAUCCCUCUUUGCAUACUUGAGCAAAGGCCAUGGCCAAUCUGACCUUUUGAGAGACCUGAUUUAAGAAUUCCUGCCCAGUACGAGUCGAGAGGAGCCGUUGUAAGAGCUCUGAAGCAGCUCUAGGGUCUGCCUGUCAAGUCUGAUCAAACUCCGGAAAGCCAAAAUGUGCCCAUCUCCUUUGGAAAC